AUGUAUCAAACUACCAUAGCUUGCUUUGGUUAGUUUUGGAUGGUGAGGGAUGCUGGAUGUAAAUGAUCAGCUACCUUUAAAUAUAUUAGCUUGAAAUGUUUAAGCCAUUUGAGCUUGAGCUGAUAUGAAUAAUACUGCUUUUGCUAAGAUGUUGCUUAUUCAGGCUUAUAAAAUGUCUUGAAAGAGACUGUCUUUGGACAUUUACAAUCUUGA
rnacentral:misc_RNA from 1 species